rnacentral:rRNA from 1 species
GACGAACGCUGGCGGCGUGCCUAAUACAUGCAAGUUGAGCGCUGAAGGUUGGUACUUGUACCAACUGGAUGAGCAGCGAACGGGUGAGUAACGCGUGGGGAAUCUGCCUUUGAGCGGGGGACAACAUUUGGAAACGAAUGCUAAUACCGCAUAAAAACUUUAAACACAAGUUUUAAGUUUGAAAGAUGCAAUUGCAUCACUCAAAGAUGAUCCCGCGUUGUAUUAGCUAGUUGGUGAGGUAAAGGCUCACCAAGGCGAUGAUACAUAGCCGACCUGAGAGGGUGAUCGGCCACAUUGGGACUGAGACAAGGCCCAAACUCCUACGGGAGGCAGCCGUAGGGAAUCUUCGGCCAUGGACGAAAGUCUGACCGAACAAAGCCGGGUGAGUGAAGGAGGUUUUCCGAUCGGAAAACUCUGUUGGUAGAGAAGAAAGUUGGUGAGAGUGGAAAGCUCAUCAAGUGACGGUACCUAACCAGAAAGGGACGGCUAACUACGUG